ACUCCUACGGGAGGCAGCAGUAGGGAAUUUUCGGCAAUGGGGGGAACCCUGACCGAGCAAUGCCGCGUGAAUGAAGAAGGUCUUCGGAUUGUAAAGUUCUGUUAUCGGGAAAGAACAGUAUAUUCAGGAAAUGGGAUAUGCGUGACGGUACCUGAUUAGAAAGCCCCGGCCAACUACGUGCCAGCAGCCGCGGUAAUACGUAGGGGGCGAGCGUUAUCCGGAUUUAUUGGGCGUAAAGCGUGUGUAGGCGGUUUAUUAAGUCAGGCGUAAAAGAUCACAGCUCAACUGUGUAGGGCGUUUGAAACUGGUAGACUUGAAUACGGUAGAGGCAGGUGGAAUUCCAUGUGUAGCGGUGGAAUGCGUAGAUAUAUGGAGGAACACCAAUGGCGAAGGCAACCUGCUGGGCCGGAAUUGACGCUGAGACACGAAAGCGUGGGGAGCAAACAGGAUUAGAUACCCUGGUAGUC
rnacentral:rRNA from 1 species